GGAUGCUCACGGCUGAAACACUUCCCAGAGAAUGCACUGGUGUAGGUGUCCAGACUGACUCCAGGUGCAGCCCCACGUACAGCAGACUGCAGUGAUAUUGGCUGGCGGGGAUAACAGCAUGAAAGAAUGAAAGAAAAGAGACGGUCGCAACCGCUUCACCAGGCCCAGAUGGGGAAAAGCCACCCUUGGACACUGUUGUAAUCUGGCAGCUGGGGAUCCAACAGCAUCUAGGGAGCACCAACCACGAGGUUUUUUCACAGUUGCUCAACAUUAUGGAAAGAGGUCACACACCAGAGGAGCAAGACAAUAAUGAUAUAAUGGCAGUAGACAUUGAAAGUCAGAAAGUUAAAGCUCUAUAACCAUUAAAACACAAAUUAGCAUGAUCACAUGUCAAAAUAUACAACAGAAACAUCCCUAAAUGCUCAGAAGUUCUCAAGUGGCAUUUUUCUUACUUUUUGAUUAUUACUGCUGGAAAUACUUUUUCUUCAGUUUGUGUGUGGACUGUGAAACUGAUGUGUACCAAC